AACGAACGCUGGCGGCAUGCCUAACACAUGCAAGUCGAACGAGACCUUCGGGUCUAGUGGCGCACGGGGGCGUAACGCGUGGGAACCUGCCCUUAGGUUCGGAAUAACUCCCCGAAAGGGGUGCUAAUAACGGAUAAUGUCUUCGGACCAAAGAUUUAUCGCGGUUGGAUGGGCCCGCGUUGGAUUAGCUAGUUGGUAGGGUAAUAGCCUACCAAGGCGACGAUCCAUAGCUGGUCUGUGAGGAUGAUCAGCCACACUGGGACUGCGACACGGCCCAGAAUCGUACGGGAGGCAGGAGUGGGGAAUAGUGGGCAAUGGGCGAAAGCCUGAUCCAGCAAUGCCGGGUGAGUGAUGAAGGCCUUAGGGUUGUAAAGCUCUUUUACCCGGAAUGAGAAUGACAGUACCGGGAGAAUAAGCUCCGGCUAACUCCGUG
rnacentral:rRNA from 1 species